rnacentral:rRNA from 1 species
GUGUCAGCAGCCGCGGUAAUACGUAGGUGGCGAGCGUUAUCCGGAAUUACUGGGCGUAAAGCGCAAGCAGGCGGCUCAUUAAGUUUGACGUGAAAUCUCCCGGCUUAACCGGGAGGGGCCGUUGAAAACUGAUAAGCUUGAGGCGAUGAGAGGGGUGUGGAAUUCCCGGUGUAGUGGUGGAAUGCGUAGAUAUCGGGAGGAACACCAGAGGCGAAAGCGACACCCUGGCAUUUGCCUGACGCUGAGAUGCGAAAGCGUGGGGAGCAAACGGGAUUAGAUACCCGCGUAGUCC